rnacentral:lncRNA from 1 species
AUGAAUAAAUCAAAGACAUGAAGUAGAUAGACCCUUGGCAUUUGUGUAUUUAUAUAGAAUAUUGUUUCAUCCAUCCAUCUCUCGUGUUCUAAGAAAUACAUAUCCGAUUGAAAGAAUAAGUAGCAACUCUGUAGCCUCUUUUCCCAUCAUCUCCUUACCUCCUCUUUUUUCAAAUUAGUCCUGCAGAAGAAGAUCAUCAUGAGGCGCUUAAAGUCAAGAACAACACCACUUUUGUCCAAGUUUGCGCCGUUGUUGGAGCCAUGGCCAAAUGAUGCUAUAAGAAAGGAACUAUAAACCUGAUCAGGACAUUUGACCUGAGGAAACAUGCCCUCUAGGCAAGUCUGAUGCUUGGCUUUUCAUCUCUGCUGUUGAGAAUCAAAUAAGGCAUGGCUCACGUCAUGAAAUUAUUUAGCAUAUCAUAUCUGUUUGAUAUUAGUAUAAGUUUUUCUGUUUACUACCUCUCCUCCUUCCUUUCCCAGUUGGGACAAUGAUAUGUUAUGUAUAUCCUUCUCUGCUCUACAACAGCUGCUUUUGUAAUACUACUUGUAUGAAAGUUUUAUUAUACCUCAGUUUUUCUCUUUUCUGUUUGUUCAAUUGGAUUCUUAGUUUAUUGUAUUGAUUAUGUGCAACUGGCAUGGCCAGGUAAGAAAAAGAACAAAAAAGCUUACUGUUUUCUCUAAAUUAAUUAAUCAAAGAUAUUAUUUGCUGGAUUUAAAUUGGCUCUUCCAAUGAAAACAUAAUCACAUGACAUGAUCCUUUCUGGCUUUAUAUUAUUGAAAGUAACAGCCACCCCCCUUUUGAGAUAUUCAUCGUGUGUACACGUAUAAGGGCGAGGGAUUAAUGCUUCAAUUGUUCAAGUUAGAAUGAUGAUUGACUUAAAGCUAAUAAUAUAAAAUGAAAACAUGCUUUGGAGAAGAAGAAAAGAAUGAAUAAAUUACACAAGCAGCCUGCCAUGAGUUGUAUGUAUUUUGGUUAAUAAUAGUCUGGUUAAAAACCAUGCAAUUCCAAUGGCAGACUCUUGAGCACGCACAGAUAUGUCAAAUAUAUAUGAAUAUAAAGCAUGUAUCAUGCAUCUACAUCUUGUUUCAGAUCUAAUGAAUGUGAUGAUUCUAGGUUCAAAGGAAAAAUUGAAUUGUUGAGGGAGGAUUAAACUCUCCAAACAGCUGGAAAGUGGAAGAAUGAAUUCUUGUGGACGAAAUGUAUUUAACAUCUGCCUAGAAUUGGCAGGUGCAGGAAAGGCUUUUUAGUUCUAUCAGUAUGCAAUUGAUAAAUGCUAUUUGGUUUUUUGAUCCAGUUUGAAAUUUCAUGUGUAUGUCUAAUUUGAUACUUCAAGUUACUACAUACUAUGUAGUAACUGUGGUCAAGAGUGCACUUGGUUUCACGUUCACUUUUUGAUCAACAAUCAUAGCGUGUACCUGAAUGGUAUUUUGCAUCUUUAACUCAAGUCAUAAAAGUCUUAAUAAUUAUCAUUCCCC